rnacentral:rRNA from 1 species
AAACUAACAAGGAUUCCCCUAGUAACGGCGAGUGAAGAGGGAAGAGCCCAAGAUUGAAAGCUGGCGUCUUCGGCGUCCGCAUUGUAAUCUCAAGAAGUGUUUUCCGCUUCGGACCAUGCCUAAGUCCCUUGGAAAAGGGCAUCAUAGAGGGUGAUAAUCCCGUACAUGGCAUGGAGCGCCCGAAGCUUUGUGAUACGCUUUCUAAGAGUCGAGUUGUUUGGGAAUGCAGCUCAAAAUGGGUGGUAAAUGCCAUCUAAGGCUAAAUAUUGGGGAGAGACCGAUAGCGAACAAGUACAGUGAUGGAAAGAUGAAAAGAACUUUGAAAAGAGAGUUAAACAGUACGUGAAAUUGCCAAAAGGGAAGGGUAGGAGGUCAGAGAUGCGGCCUGGGAUUCAGCCUUGCUUUUGCUUGGUGUUUUUCCCAGAUUGCAGGCCAACGUCGGUUUUGGGCACUGGAGAAGGGUAGGAGGAACGUGGCACCUCUCGGGGUGUGUUAUAGCCUCCUACUGGAUACAGCGACCGAGACCGAGGACAGCAGCGUACUCGCAAGAGCGGGCCUUCGGGCACCUUUACGCUUAGGGCGUUGGCAUAAUGGCCCUCUACCACCCGUCU